rnacentral:lncRNA from 1 species
GCGGCACCCAGAGGCCGUCCUGUAGCCGGGCCGGCUUGGGGCUUGGUUCUAUGUCCCUGCGGGUCGGUGCAAGGGCGAAGAGGAACCCGUGGGCCUCAGGGGAUCCCGGGGGGCCGGACCAGUGUUCCCUAGUUGUGGGAGCAGACGCGUGGGCACAUUGCGGGCGGGCAGGGCCUGAAGUGCAGAAGUUUAUACGAGACCUAGUUUCCAGGGAAGAACUCACUGAUUCCGCGAGGGAGAUGGCUUAAUGGAUGAUGGUCGUCAGCCUUAAGGAUACUUCAGUCUUAACUGUGUGUUACAAAGUUUGAAAGGGAGGGUUCCCUAUGAAUAAGAAGCACACUUGAAAGAACAGCCAUCUGGUCUAACCUCUCACUGGUGCUUCAGAGGAGGAAAAAAGGUCACAGCUAUGUUUCCAGUGUCCUCUGGGUGUUUCCAAGAGCAACAAGAAAUGAAUAAAUCUCUGACAGAGUUUCACUCUUGUUGCCCAGGCUGGAGUGCAGUGACACGAUCUCAGCUAGCUGCAACCUCCACCUCCCGGGUUCAAGCAAUUCUCCUGCCUCAGCCUCCUGAGUAGCUG